rnacentral:rRNA from 1 species
GACGAACCGAGCGAACGUUGUUCGGAAUCACUGGGCUUAAAGGGCGCGUAGGCGGGUGCUCAAGUCCGUGGUGAAAUCCUCCGGCCCAACCGGAGAACUGCCAUGGAUACUGGGUGUCUCGAGGGUGAUAGGGGUAUGCGGAACUAUCGGUGGAGCGGUGAAAUGCGUUGAUAUCGAUAGGAACUCCGGUGGCGAAGGCGGCAUACUGGAUCACAUCUGACGCUGAGGCGCGAAAGCCAGGGGAGCAAACGGG